rnacentral:rRNA from 1 species
GACGAACGCUGGCGGCGUGCUUAACACAUGCAAGUCGAACGGAAAGGCCCUGCUUGCAGGGUACUCGAGUGGCGAACGGGUGAGUAACACGUGGGUGAUCUGCCCUGCACUUCGGGAUAAGCCUGGGAAACUGGGUCUAAUACCGGAUAGGAGCCAUUUUUAGUGUGAUGGUUGGAAAGUUUUUUCGGUGUAGGAUGAGCUCGCGGCCUAUCAGCUUGUUGGUGGGGUAAUGGCCUACCAAGGCGGCGACGGGUAGCCGGCCUGAGAGGGUGGACGGCCACAUUGGGACUGAGACACGGCCCAGACUCCUACGGGAGGCAGCAGUGGGGAAUAUUGCACAAUGGGCGCAAGCCUGAUGCAGCGACGCCGCGUGGGGGAUGACGGCCUUCGGGUUGUAAACUCCUUUCGCUAGGGACGAAGCUUUUUGUGACGGUACCUAGAUAAGAAGCACCGGCUAACUACGUG